GGUGACCUGCAGAACACAUCUGAGGAAUCAGAUCUCCAGUGGGACAAUUCACCAGAGAUCAGUGAACAGACACGUGAGAACAUGAAGACUGUGAUUCUUGCUCUUGUGGUGUUACUGGUUGUCAGCCAGGGUGAAGCCUUGAGGUGUUACUGUGGAGGUCGUACACAGUGUUCAGACCGUAUACAGAC